CCCUUUGAGGGGAUGAACGCUAGCGGCAGGCUUCAUACAUGCAAGUCGAGGGGCAGCGAAGAUUGCUUGCAAUCUGUCUGCGACCGGCGCACGGGUGCGUAACGCGUAUGCAACCUACCUUGUACAGGGGGAUAGCCCGGAGAAAUUCGGAUUAAUACCCCAUAGUAUCAUAAUGACACAUGUUAUAAUGAUUAAAGUUUCGGCGGUACAAGAUGGGCAUGCGUCCUAUUAGAUAGUUGGUAAGGUAACGGCUUACCAAGUCAGCGAUAGGUAGGGGGCCUGAGAGGGUGGUCCCCCACACUGGUACUGAGACACGGACCAGACUCCUACGGGAGGCAGCAGUGAGGAAUAUUGGUCAAUGGACGCAAGUCUGAACCAGCCAUGCCGCGUGCAGGAAGAAUGCCCUAUGGGUUGUAAACUGCUUUUAUUUAGGAAGAAUACCCCUUACGUGUAAGGGAUUGACGGUACUAAAUGAUAAGGGACGGCUAACUCCUGGCAAGCAG
rnacentral:rRNA from 1 species